UAGAAAAUCGCACGUUCAUCCCACUUUCCUCUCCAGUCCACCCAAAGUCCGACGAGCAACCACCCGGCCAUGGCGACCACCGACAUCCGCCUCUCCAUCGGGCACCAGACCCGCUUCGCCCUCCGCCUAGCCUCCGCCAUCUCCUCGCCCUCCCACGCCAAGGGCUCCGCUGGCAACGCCGCCUUCUCCCCGCUCUCGCUCCACGUCGCGCUUAGCCUCGUCGCGGCCGGCGCCGGCGGCGCCACCCGCGACCAGCUCGCCGCCGCGCUCGGGUCCGCGGAGAAAGGCGGGUCCGAGGACCUCCACGCGCUCGCCGAGCAGGUGGUUCAGGUCGUGCUCGCCGACGCGUCGGGCGCCGGCGGCCCGCGGGUCGCCUUCGCCAACGGCGUCUUCGUCGACGCGUCGCUCAAGCUCAAGCCUUCCUUCAAGGAUCUCGCCGUGGGCAAGUACAAGGCCGAGACGCAGUCCGUGGACUUCCAAACUAAGGCUGCUGAAGUUGCUGGUCAGGUGAACUCCUGGGUAGAUAAAAUCACAACAGGUCUCAUCAAAGAGAUCCUCCCUGCAGGGUCUGUUGACAAUACCACUAGACUGGUUCUUGGUAAUGCCCUUUAUUUCAAAGGAGCCUGGACUGAGAAGUUUGACGCGUCCAAGACAAAAGAUGAGAAGUUCCACCUCCUUGAUGGGAGCUCAGUUCAAACACCAUUCAUGUCCAGUACAAAGAAGCAAUACAUUUCGUGUUCUGACAGCUUGAAGGUACUGAAGCUUCCUUACCAGCAAGGCGAGGACAAGAGGCAGUUCUCCAUGUACAUUCUUCUUCCAGAAGCACAGGAUGGUCUCUGGAACUUGGCCAACAAGUUGAGCACCGAACCAGAGUUCUUGGAGAACCAUAUCCCAAUGCAGAAGGUUCCUGUCGGGCAGUUCAAGCUUCCGAAGUUCAAGAUAUUGUUUGGAUUUGAAGCGUCUGAUAUGCUCAAAGGUUUGGGUCUCCAGCUGCCGUUCAGCGCAGAGGCUGAUCUUUCGGAGAUGGUGGAUUCAUCGGCGGGCUUAUACGUCUCGUCCGUUUUCCACAAGUCGUUUGUCGAGGUGAACGAAGAAGGCACCGAGGCUGCCGCGGCAACUGCUUCUGUGGUCACACUUAGGUCACUGCCAAUAGAGCCCGUGAAGGUGGAUUUCGUCGCGGAUCACCCUUUCCUCUUCCUUAUCCGAGAAGACCUCACAGGCGUGGUGCUAUUCGUCGGUCAUGUGUUCAAUCCCUUGGUGUCUCCAUGAUGUGUUUGCUCUGGAUCGCUGCAUUGGCAGUGACCUCAACUAUCACAUGUGAGUGGAGGGGGUUUCAACUUUAGAUCAUGCUGCCUGUGCAAUAAAUCCGGUGGAUGUUUUUUGUUUUCGAAUAAUGGCUUGCUUGAUGUAUGGAGGUUGUGGUGAGUUAGUGACAAUAAUCCAGGAUUGCUGUGGAGUUUUGUGCUUUCAGUUGCUUGAUGCAUGAGAUGGAGGUUGUGGUGAGUUAGUGACAAUAAUCCAGGAUUGCUGUGGAGUUUUGUGCUUUCAGUUGCUCGAUGCAUGAGAUGCCCAUGCUGGCCAAAUGCUUCUUAGCGAAGUAUGAGCCAUGGUCUUUGCAUAAUUUGCGAGAAUGAUCUGGAUUAUUUUGUUAAUCUGGAUUGUUAGACGAGUGGGUUUGGUUGAUCAGGCGCCGAGAGCGACGUUGUCCUCCGUGGCCCUAUCGUUGUCAGUCCACGAUAUGCUGAAAUUUUAAACCCUGUCCCUUC